AAUCACUAAUAUGGUAGGGAUUGAAACAAACAAAUAAUUCAGACAAGCGGGGAAGCUGAAAACCUUGGCUUCUGUAGCUAAAAGGUUCAAAAAUAAGCUUUAACUCUCAAUAGUGAAAUUGCACAAAGCACUUUGAGUGAUUUAGCAAUAUUUCAUAAUGGUAGAUACGAUUCAAAAUGAACACCAAUUAAAAGAACCAGGAAGAAAUAAGGAAGCCAAAACCUAUCUAGGAUUCAAAAUUUCAAUACACUGAACUCAACACCAAAAAACCUGUGCUUCCAAGUAUAAUUCGUACUAAGAAAACAUAGGUGAAGUUCAGUGUUGUUUCUCGAAUAAUGCAAACACAGAAGUGCAUCCCCUUCUAGAGCUCAGAGAAAAAAAAUAAUCNNNN
rnacentral:lncRNA from 1 species